UACGAAGGGGGCUAGCGUUGUUCGGAAUUACUGGGCGUAAAGCGCACGUAGGCGGAUCAUUUAGUCAGGGGUGAAAUCCCGGGGCUCAACCUCGGAACUGCCUUUGAUACUGAUGGUCUCGAGUCCGAUAGAGGUGAGUGGAAUUCCUAGUGUAGAGGUGAAAUUCGUAGAUAUUAGGAAGAACACCAGUGGCGAAGGCGGCUCACUGGAUCGGUACUGACGCUGAGGUGCGAAAGCGUGGGGAGCAAACAGGG
rnacentral:rRNA from 1 species